GACGAACGCUGGCGGCGUGCCUAAUACAUGCAAGUAGAACGCUGAAGGAGGAGCUUGCUCUUCUGGAUGAGUUGCGAACGGGUGAGUAACGCGUAGGUAACCUGCCUGGUAGCGGGGGAUAACUAUUGGAAACGAUAGCUAAUACCGCAUAAGAGUAGAUGUUGCAUGACAUUUACUUAAAAGGUGCAAUUGCAUCACUACCAGAUGGACCUGCGUUGUAUUAGCUAGUUGGUGGGGUAACGGCUUACCAAGGCGACGAUACAUAGCCGACCCGAGAGGGUGAUCGGCCACACUGGGACUGAGACACGGCCCAGACUCCUACGGGAGGCAGCAGUAGGGAAUCUUCGGCAAUAGACGGAAGUCUGACCGAGCAACGCCGCGUGAGUGAAGAAGGUUUUCGGAUCGUAAAGCUCUGUUGUAAGAGAAGAACGAGUGUGAGAGUGGAAAGUUCACACUGUGACGGUAUCUUACCAGAAAGGGACGGCUAACUACGUG
rnacentral:rRNA from 1 species